rnacentral:rRNA from 1 species
UACGAAGGGGGCUAGCGUUGCUCGGAAUCACUGGGCGUAAAGCGCACGUAGGCGGAUCUUUAAGUCAGGGGUGAAAUCCUGGAGCUCAACUCCAGAACUGCCUUUGAUACUGGGGAUCUCGAGUCCGGAAGAGGUGAGUGGAACUCCGAGUGUAGAGGUGAAAUUCGCAGAUAUCAGGAGGAACACCGGUGGCGAAGGCGCCACUCUGGGCCGGUACUGACGCUGAGGAGCGAAAGCGUGGGUAGCAAACAGG